GGUGACAUAGCCAAGCGGUAAGGCAAAGGUCUGCAAAACCUUGACCGUCGGUUCGAAUCCGACUGUCACCUCCA
rnacentral:tRNA from 1 species